GAGUUGGACACGACUUAGCGACUGAACCACCACCGUCACCAGCGGUCGGUAUGGAAUGAUACUCUGGCUAGGUGAAAGCCAAGAAAACAGCUUCAGUCCCUGGGCCCCCAGGACUCUCUCUCCUUCCUUCCCAAGUUGGUGGCUAGGAGUCAGUCAGCUGACUUGCGUCCUCCCAAGAUCUCUCUCUCGAUGCAAGAGAGCGUGUUCCAAGUCGGGAUGCCAGGUGUGGGGCCUCUGCUAACCCAGCCCCCAGCCCUGUCCGGUCAGGGCCACGUGGGAGCUGGGGCUCGCCCCACCUCGGAACACCAGACCCCGCUGACCUGGAACGCUUGAGCAAACACGGAGUGCUCUAUUAGAGGCUGGGGUUUAAAGGUCAGCUCUGUGCUUAUAGGCUGAGUCUGAUUCUCUGUCUCCGUGACUCUCAGGGAGUCUGAUGCCUGCAGAGUGGACUGAGGAGGUAGAUGAGUCUUUCCAUGCAGAGCGCGGAGCUGUUUGCUUUGCAAGGAGCUGUCUCUGCCCACAGGAAGUCCGCAGGUCAGCCGCAGGCGGGAGACGCGCCGAGGUCCCCUGCGUCGCACGCUUCCUUCUGACUGGAACUUAGAAAGCUCGAGAUCUGCAGUCUCCCUCCCACUGGCCGUCCUGCCUGGGUGCCAAGUUCCACACGGGGUUUCAUGGAUCGGCAGGUCAGAUGUUACACUUGUUUGCAGAUUUGUGAUUUUAUGAUUGUCACUUUGCAGCAUUCUGGGAGUGAUCUUCUCGUUUAUGCAUUGCUGGUGUUGUUAUUUAAGAUAGUUUUGAACUCUGUAGUUAUUAAGGAGAAACACAAAGCAUUCAGCAGGUUAAAAAUAAACAUAAUGGAAAAAAGGAUGCUUCAAAUUCAUUUGGGGAGAAAAAGUAAUAAUUGGGCACAGAGAGAAAGGAGACCACUUGUCAUUUGUUAUGUGAAAAAAUGCUGAAUGGAGAACCAGAGUUCCCUCCAACCUCUCUUCCUUGAGUGCUAAAGAAGGCAGAAGGAUCGCAUCUCUACCCUGGGUUGGAGCAAGUCAGGUAGCCGAGAGCAACGGUGCAGUGAAGACCCAUUUCCCACACAGACAAGCCCCACAGCCUCCCUUCGUUCCCCCGAAGUCGAGAAAUAUUUGGAAUGCUAGGAUGUCAUUUGGAACCCAGUUUGUUGACAUUAUUAUAACAACGGUUUCAGUUUGUCUCCGCAGUUAAGAUUGUGUCAGCACUUUCCUUUCUGUGUUUAUUAUUUUUAGCAGUUUAAAAGCUAACCAGGAAAGAUGGCUUUCUGGCAGCGAGGUGACAUUCCGGCUGGGCCAGGGUCUGUGGCGUCUGGACAGCCGUGGCUGGCGGUGGAGCCGGGCCCUCUGAAUGCUGUCUUUGUGCCUGCCAUCGCCAGCGCCUCUGGCCUAUUGUCCGGCUGCCUGGGUUGGGAUGGCGCUAUCUGAUUGUCGCCAGUGCUAAUAUUACAGAGCUCGGGGCCCUGGCCGCCCGGGGGCCCCUCCUCGAGCUGCCGCUGUCUCCCAGCCUUCCCUCCAGGGGGCCAGUCCCGGCUCUCAUAUCAGAAACACGAUUUGUGAUUUAUAGAAGGUUCCAGGGAGAGGGAUCGGUAAGAAUCGGCUAGACCUGCACUUCUCCAACUUUUUAAAUUUUUCUUUUUUUUUACAAAGAACACUUGAAUGCAGUCUUCCAGUGAAAGGCAAUUUGUAAGAUACGGAAAAGUACAGUAGUUCCGCUGGGAGGCGGGAAGCCCACGCUUCUGCCUGCACGCCGCCCACCUGCAAUGAAGGUGGCUUCUCAGGCCCCCAGGAAACCUCAGAGGACUUGCCCACUGUUUUCACGGGGCAGACCCCUCAAUUUGCAGAUAAGGAAGCCAAGAGGUGUUUUAUAGAUGCUUAAAACAUGAGACAUCAGUCACUUAAAAACUACACUGUGUUCAUCCAUUUUUACCUUGUUCUGAAAAAGGCACAGCUAUUCUGUGGUGAUAGCAAUCAAAAUAGUGGCUACUUUGGGGAGAGACCAGCUUGGCUAGGCAGGGGCACAGGGAAUUUUCUGGGGUGAUAGAAAUGUCUGUCUUCAUAGACAUGUGUGCUGCAUGGCAUUUGUCAAAACCUGCUUCCUUUUUGCUAUACAUAAAUUCUACCUCUGUUAACAAAUGAAAGCAACAAAGGAAAACAAAGCAAAAAAAAAAAA